rnacentral:lncRNA from 1 species
AGAUAUAGGAAGAACAUAAUUUUUUGAAAAAACAAAAGAUAUUUUUUUUUAUCAAAAAUGAUAUAUUAUAUAUAGAGAGAGAGAGAAAGCAGGGCUGUUGUGUUUUAGGAGCACGAAGGUCUCUAUACUCCUAAGCAGGGCUGUUGUGUUUUUAGGAGCACGAAGGUCUCUAUACUCCUAAGCAAUUUUAAUGAUGGAAUUUUCAAAUUGACGAUCGAUUUUUUUUUAAUCUAUAGCGUAUUUGAUAUCUAGAAAAUAAAUUUUGUCAUUUUUUGAUAUCAUUUAUCUAGUAAUCGAAAGGAUUCAAAAUUAAUGACUAAAAAUAAAAAUCUAAAAAAAAAAUUAUGAUAUAGUACUAAAAUUUUCAAUCAUAAACACUAAUCUUGUUUAGAUAGUAUAUAGAAUUUUAUAUCAAAAUUUUAUCUUAUUUGAAUAUUUCUACAAAUUUGAAAAUGAUGGCAAAAUUUUUUAUCAAAAUUUUAUCUAAUUUGAAUAUUUCUGCAUCAUUAAAAUUAUUAAUUUUGAACUAUUUUCUUUCUUUUUUUCUUUUUUUUCUUUUUCUUUGUUUUUUUUUUCUCUCAAAACUAGGAGUAUAUGUUGUUAAGAUUUAGGGAAAACUUCAAAUACCCCUCACUUGGUUUCGCACUUUAUCACUUUAGUAAUUUAUGCUUUAAAGUGUACCAAUUUAGUACCCUAUGAUUUCGCACUUUUUCACUUUAAUAUUAUAUGAUUUAAAGUACGUCAAUUUAGUACUAUAUAGUUUUAUUUUUCUCUUUUUGUCGGCUACCCUGUUAAUAUUUCGUUAAAUUAUAUACAAAAAAACUUUAGAUAUCCUAUCUAGGUUUAUCGAAUAUUUACUUUAGUACUCUUUAUUUUUAACUUUGUCGCUGAUUUCUUUUUAUUCUGUUAAUAUUUCGUUAAAUUAUAUAGAAAAAACUUCAUAUAUCCUAUCUAGGUUUAUCGAAUAUUCACUUUAUUACUUUUUAAUUUUAAUUUUAAUUUUGCCACUGAUUUAAUGAAAAAAAUUGAUGAAUGGAUAAUAAAAAAAAAAAAUCACAAAGUACUAACUUAAUACAGUUUAAACCACAGAAUACUAAAAUGAGAAAGUGCGAAACCACAAAAACUUACUUGAUACACUUUAAACCACAUAAUACUAAAGUAAGAAGUUGUGAAACCACAAUGGGGUGCCCUGAGGUUUAUGAUAUUUUUACCAUGCAUUUAUUUGACUCCACUAUUUGAGGGAUCUCCCACUAUGCAUCGAACACGCGGCCUCCUCCUCCACCAACACCUUCGACCUCGCCCAUCCCCUUCUAAUGGCACUCUCCUCCUUCUACUUGAUCGGAACCCCCUUCACACGUAGAUCGGGAGAGAGGGUUCCACUCACCGUCCUCCUUCUACUUGAUUGGAACCCCCUUCACACGUAGAUUGGGAGAGAGGGUUCCACUCACCGUCAUUAUCGUCUUUCUCCUUCUCUAGUGUUAACUCCAAUGCGCAAGCCCGAGCGCCACUGCAGUAAGGAGUGAUAGCUCGAUCGUACUAUCUCGUCAUUGUCGGCAUAUGCGGUAGAGGUAGAAUUGAAGAGGGGUUGAGAUCAUCAAUGACAAAGGAAUGGGAGCCUCUGAGGAAGUAUCCGAGGGUUUAUGGAAGGGUUUUGGGGCUGCAAAUGGAGGAAGAGGUGGUGAGGGAGUGAGACGGGAUAUGAAGUGGGAGUUAGGAGGUCAAAUGUCUAGCCUUUGAUUUAGCCCAAUAACGAUACCAUCAGAGCCUGGUAUACGGCCCACAGUAAUUGAGUGGAGGCCCAACGCUGGGGCAAAAGGCUUGUAGGAUGUGCAAAUAUGUUUUUACAUUGAUGCAAUAUCACGCGGCAGUUGGCUGGUAUUCUUAUCAAAAUAUUUUUUUUUGAGAGAGAAAGAUAGCAUGUUAUUCGUUUCAUUUAUUUCAUUUUAGAAAUAAACUUAGCUGGAAAUGUGAAUCAACAGAUCGCAGAUAAAAUUUGAGAAAUUUUGUGGAUCAAUUGGUUGAAUCUUCCUCAGGUGUGUAGCUACUUAUUCUUUAAUUGGCCCUUAAGGUAUUGACCCGUAUUUUCGUACCGAUACGAGAGCGGUGCUAAAACUGUAAUCGAGAUAAAGAGAAGUGUGCGAGAGGGGGUUAAAUUGUUAAGCGGGAAGCUUUAAAUAUCGUGAAGUUGGGGAUUCGAUCUUGCAAGUAUUUGUAAAUAACAAGGAUUCUUGGAUUGCAUUUCGCAAUAAUCGUCUAUAAUGUGCAAAUAGUAGAAAAAAAAGGAAAAGAAAGAAAAAAAGUGGAUUGAAGUUCUUAUUCCAAGUAUAUUUUCACCUUGGUAUAUAAGGAGCUGGUAUCUUUCCAAUUUGAUCUUUUGUUGCUCGAGUUGGUUGAUGUUGGAGUACAAUGUAAUUAAUUAUGUUUGGAUUAUCAUUUAGUCCUUAAUUUGUUCAUUAUCUGUCGCCGUGUUAUUCCACUAUGGAAGGAAAUUUAUAUAAUGCUUGUCACUGUUAAUUGUUUGCAGCUCUUUGUUUAAGAGGUGCAGCACAUUAAACAUCUGAUUAUUGUGUGGCUUUACCCUGUUAAACAUCUGAUUAGGUAUUAUUGUUAGGAUCAUCUUCUUUUAACAAUAGUUUUAAGAGUCCGGCUAUGGUGCUUGUAAAAGCAUCGAGUACUUUGUGCUUGUAAAUUUUUUACCGUUAGAUUUAUACUUGAUCAUUUUCAUCCGUUAGAUUAUACUAUUCAACUAACCAUUAACUCAACCCUAGAAGGUCCACAUCAUUCUAACCGCACAUUCUUUAAUCCAAGGGUCAAAAACUUACAAGUACUAGUGAUUUGGUACUUUCAAAAAGUAUAAGAGCUCAAUUCUAGUUUUAAUACUACUAAGUAAAUUCAACCUCUCUGUUGGAUGGCUCUCCGCUCUAAGAAAAAGAGAAACUUGCUCUUCUAAUUUAAUCUAAGCUAAAAGGUAUUAAGAAAAACUCAAAUAAAAUAUGUUUUUUUU